rnacentral:lncRNA from 1 species
GGUGAUAGUCUUGUUUUGAGCAAGCAAGGAAUCUUGAGAUUGAAGUUUUAGAACUCCCAACUAUUGAGGUGGAGCUCCUCUUUCAUUAUGAAUCUCGUUAUCAUUAGUAGUCAUGUUGUCAAUCAACUCAUAGGCUUCCUCUGUAGUCUUACAAUUGAUGUUACCUCCCGCUCAAGCAUCUAGCAUUAGUUUCGUCUGAGAGAUAAGACCUACAAGGAACAAAAGGACUAUUGUUUCUUCAUCAAAGCCAUGCGAAGGUGUCUUCCUUAGCAAGCCUUUAUAUCUAUCCC